rnacentral:rRNA from 1 species
GAGUUUGAUUCUGGCUCAGAUUGAACGCUGGCGGCAUGCUUUACACAUGCAAGUCGAACGGCAGCACGGAAGAGCUUGCUCUUUUGGUGGCGAGUGGCGAACGGGUGAGUAACGCAUCGGAACGUACCGAGUAGUGGGGGAUAACUGUCCGAAAGGAUGGCUAAUACCGCAUAUUCUCUGAGGAGGAAAGCAGGGGACCUUCGGGCCUUGCGCUAUUUGAGCGGCCGAUGUCUGAUUAGCUAGUUGGUGGGGUAAAGGCCUACCAAGGCGACGAUCAGUAGCGGGUCUGAGAGGAUGAUCCGCCACACUGGGACUGAGACACGGCCCAGACUCCUACGGGAGGCAGCAGUGGGGAAUUUUGGACAAUGGGGGGAACCCUGAUCCAGCCAUGCCGCGUGUCUGAAGAAGGCCUUCGGGUUGUAAAGGACUUUUGUCAGGGAAGAAAAGCUUGAGGUUAAUACCCUU